UUUCGGGCCCUGUGCAAUACGAGCCUUCGAACUGCGUCAGGUCCGGAAGGAAGCAGCGCUAAGGAGUGUCUUGCAUGUGCCGCAGGUAUCCCGAAGCCU
rnacentral:SRP_RNA from 1 species